GUAGGUGGCAAGCGUUGUCCGGAAUUAUUGGGCGUAAAGCGCGCGCAGGCGGUUCUUUUAAGUCUGAUGUGAAAGCCCACGGGCUCAACCGUGGAGGGUCAUUGGAAACUGGAGAACUUGAGUACAGAAGAGGAAAGCGGAAUUCCACGUGUAGCGGUGAAAUGCGUAGAGAUGUGGAGGAACACCAGUGGCGAAGGCGGCUUUCUGGUCUGUAACUGACGCUGAGGCGCGAAAGCGUGGGGGGCAAACAGGAUUAGAUACCCUGGUAGUCCACGCCGUAAACGAUGAGUGCUAAGUGUUAGGGGGUUUCCGCCCCUUAGUGCUGCAGCUAACGCAUUAAGCACUCCGCCUGGGGAGUACGGCCGCAAAGGCUG
rnacentral:rRNA from 1 species